CAGCAGUCGCCGCGGUAAUACAGAGGGUGCGAGCGUUAAUCGGAUUUACUGGGCGUAAAGCGUGCGUAGGCGGCUAAUUGAGUCGGAUGUGAAAUCCCCGAGCUUAACUUGGGAAUUGCAUUUGAUACUGGUUAGCUAGAGUGUGGGAGAGGAUGGUAGAAUUCCAGGUGUAGCGGUGAAAUGCGUAGAGAUCUGGAGGAAUACCGAUGGCGAAGGCAGCCAUCUGGCCUAACACUGACGCUGAGGUACGAAAGCAUGGGGAGCAAACAGGAUUAGAUACCCCAGUAGUCCCUGUCUCUUAUAC
rnacentral:rRNA from 1 species